UACGAAGGGUGCAAGCGUUAUCCGGAUUCACUGGGGUUAAAGGGUGCGUAGGUGGGCUAGUAAGUCCGUGGUGAAAUCUCUGAGCUUAACUCGGAAACUGCCGUGGAUACUAUUAGUCUUGAAUGUUGUGGAGGUAAGCGGAAUAUGUCAUGUAGCGGUGAAAUGCUUAGAUAUGACAUAGAACACCGAUAGCGAAGGCAGCUUGCUACACAAUUAUUGACACUGAGGCACGAAAGCGUGGGGAUCAAACAGG
rnacentral:rRNA from 1 species